UGCCUGGCCGGGGCGGCUGGCGGUUGCUGCCCCGGCGCCUCGCGCAACAAAUUCGCCUACAACGAGGCCGGGCAAGUGCGCAUCCGGGCCGGGCUGCCCAUCUACGAGUGCAACUCGCGGUGCCGCUGCGGGGCCGAGUGCCCCAACCGCGUGGUGCAGAAGGGCAUUCGCUACGACCUCUGCAUCUUCCGCACUGGCAAUGGCCGGGGCUGGGGCGUCCGCACCCUCGAGCGCAUCCGCAAGAACAGCUUUGUCAUGGAGUACGUGGGUGAGGUGAGCGCUGUGCCACCGCGGGGGUGGGGACACAUGGGGUGGCAUUGCUGCAGCUGCCCUGUGUCACUGUGCAGACGCAGGAGGACACUGCUGUGCGCCUAUAUUGCCAUGGUGUGAGCCCUGGGGACAUGGGAGGGGAUGUGGAGACACAGGAGGUCAUUGCUGUGUCCCUGUAUCACCCUGGUGUGAGCUAUGGGGACACAGAAGGGGAUGUGGGGACACAGGAGGGGAUAAUGGUGUGAGCCCUGGGGACAUGGGAGGGGAUGUGGAGACACAGGAGGUCAUUGCUGUGUCCCUGUAUCACCCUGGCGUGAGCCAUGGGGACACAGAAGGGGAUGUGGGGACACAGGAGGUCAUUGCUGUGUCCCUGUAUCACCCUGGCGUGAGCCAUGGGGACACAGAAGGGGAUGUGGGGACACAGGAGGUCAUUGCUGUGUCCCUGUAUCACCCUGGCGUGAGCCAUGGGGACACAGAAGGGGAUGUGGGGACACAGGAGGUCAUUGCUGUGUCCCUGUAUCACCCUGGCGUGAGCCAUGGGGACACAGAAGGGGAUGUGGGGACACAGGAGGUCAUUGCUGUGUCCCUGUAUCACCCUGGCGUGAGCCAUGGGGACACAGAAGGGGAUGUGGGGACACAGGAGGUCAUUGCUGUGUCCCUGUAUCACCCUGGCGUGAGCCAUGGGGACACAGAAGGGGAUGUGGGGACACAGGAGGGGAUGUGGGGACACAGGAGGUCAUUGCUGUGUCCCUGUAUCACCCUGGCGUGAGCCAUGGGGACACAGAAGGGGAUGUGGGGACACAGGAGGUCAUUGCUGUGUCCCUGUAUCACCCUGGCAUGAGCUCACCCCCGUGCGCCCCCCGGCCCCCAGAUCAUCACGUCGGAGGAGGCGGAGCGGCGGGGGCAGGUCUAUGACCGCCAGGGAGCCACCUACCUCUUCGACCUGGACUACGUGGAGGACGUCUACACUGUGGACGCUGCCCGCUAUGGCAACAUCUCCCACCUUGUCAA
rnacentral:lncRNA from 1 species